rnacentral:sRNA from 1 species
AAUUAUCAUAUGUAACUACGAUGGUAUUCGAGUUUUUUAGAGUUGAGGCAAUCAUGCAAAUGUCCGAGUUUCGCGGUUCGGAAUUGGUGUUUUUUCCUCGGACUUAGGAUGGAUGCUAAUCUCUUAUGCUUAGAUUGUCGUAGUUUUUUU